UGGGGAAUAUUGGACAAUGGGGGAAACCCUGAUCCAGCGAUGCCGCGUGUGUGAAGAAGGCCUUAGGGUUGUAAAGUUCUUUCACCUGUGAAGAUAAUGACGGUAGCAGGAGAAGAAGCCCCGGCUAACUCCGUGCCAGCAGCCGCGGUAAGACGGAGGGGGCUAGCGUUGUUCGGAAUGACUGGGCGUAAAGGGUGCGUAGGCGGUUUUUAAGUGAGGCGUGAAAGCCCUGGGCUUAACCCAGGAAUUGCGUUUCAGACUGGAAGGCUUGAGUACGAGAGAGGUAAGUGGAAUUCCUAGUGUAGAGGUGAAAUUCGUAGAUAUUAGGAAGAACACCAGUGGCGAAGGCGGCUUACUGGCUCGUAACUGACGCUGAGGCACGAAAGCGUGGGGAGCAAACAGGAUUAGAUACCCACGUAGUCCCUGAGCGGGCUGGCAAGGCGCAU
rnacentral:rRNA from 1 species